rfam:Sus scrofa chromosome 7.
UCCCUGGUGGCCUAGUGGUUAAGGAUCAGCAUUGUCACUGCUGUGGCAUGGGUUCAAUUCCUGGCCCUGGAA